UGUAGGACUGAGACAUGGCACUUCAGAGGAUAGCAGAAGCGUUUGGGAAAGCGCGCCAGAGAGGGUGAGAGCCCCGUAAGCGAAAUCCAAAGAAGGCCUAUCAGUAUCCUGAGUAGGGCGGGACACGUGAAAUCCCGUUUGAAUCCGCGAGGACCAUCUCGCAAGGCUAAAUACUAACCAGUGACCGAUAGUGAACCAGUACCGUGAGGGAAAGGUGAAAAGAACCCCGGGAGGGGAGUGAAAGAGAACCUGAAACCGUGUGCCUACAAGUAGUCAGAGCCCGUUAACGGGUAAUGGCGUGCCUUUUGUAGAAUGAACCGGCGAGUUGCGUUAGUCAGCAAGGUUAAGUCAGAAAAGACGGAGCCGUAGCGAAAGCGAGUCUGAAUAGGGCGAGCAGUUGGCUGACGCAGACCCGAAACCAAGUGACCUACCCAUGACCAGGUUGAAGGCGCGGUAAAACGCGCUGGAGGACCGAACCCACGUAAGUUGAAAAUUGCGGGGAUGAGUUGUGGGUAGCGGUGAAAUUCCAAACGAACUUGGAGAUAGCUGGUUCUCUCCGAAAUAGCUUUAGGGCUAGCCUCGCAAAGAGGAUGCUGGAGGUAGAGCUCUGUUUGGACUAGGGGCCCGUCAAGGGUUACUGAAUUCAGAUAAACUGCGAAUUCCAGACAUUUAUGUGCGGGAGUCAGACUGCGAGUGAUAAGAUCCGUAGUCGAAAGGGAAACAGCCCAGAUCACCAGUUAAGGUCCCAAAAUUCAUGCUAAGUGGAAAAGGAUGUGGAGUUGCGCAGACAACUAGGACGUUGGCUCAGAAGCAGCCAUCAUUCAAAGAGUGCGUAAUAGCUCACUAGUCGAGUGACGCCGCGCCGAAAAUUUACCGGGGCUAAGCAUGAUACCGAAACUGUGGAUGUG
rnacentral:rRNA from 1 species